rnacentral:rRNA from 1 species
GACGUAGGGCGCGAGCGUUGUCCGGAUUUAUUGGGCGUAAAGAGCUCGUAGGCGGCUUGUUGCGUCGACCGUGAAAACCCGUGGCUUAACUGCGGGCUUGCGGUCGAUACGGGCGGGCUGGAGUUCGGUAGGGGAGACUGGAAUUCCUGGUGUAGCGGUGAAAUGCGCAGAUAUCGGGAGGAACACCGGUGGCGAAGGCGGUUCUCUGGGCCUUACCUGACGCUGAGGAGCGAAAGCGUGGGGAGCGAACAGG